GAUGAACGCUGGCGGCGUGCUUAACACAUGCAAGUCGAACGGAAAGGCCCAAGCUUGCUUGGGUACUCGAGUGGCGAACGGGUGAGUAACACGUGGGUGAUCUGCCCUGCACUUCGGGAUAAGCCUGGGAAACUGGGUCUAAUACCGGAUAGGACCACAUUCUGGAUGGUGUGGUGGAAAGUUUUUCGGUGUGGGAUGAGCUCGCGGCCUAUCAGCUUGUUGGUGGGGUAAUGGCCUACCAAGGCGUCGACGGGUAGCCGGCCUGAGAGGGUGUACGGCCACAUUGGGACUGAGAUACGGCCCAGACUCCUACGGGAGGCAGCAGUGGGGAAUAUUGCACAAUGGGCGCGAGCCUGAUGCAGCGACGCCGCGUGGGGGAUGACGGCCUUCGGGUUGUAAACUCCUUUCGCUAGGGACGAAGCGUUUUUGUGACGGUACCUGGAGAAGAAGCACCGGCUAACUACGUG
rnacentral:rRNA from 1 species